rnacentral:rRNA from 1 species
GACGAACGCUGGCGGCGUGCUUAACACAUGCAAGUCGAACGGAAAGGCCCUGCUUUUGUGGGGUGCUCGAGUGGCGAACGGGUGAGUAACACGUGAGUAACCUGCCCUUGACUUUGGGAUAACUUCAGGAAACUGGGGCUAAUACCGGAUAGGAGCUCCUGCUGCAUGGUGGGGGUUGGAAGGUUUCGGCGGUUGGGGAUGGACUCGCGGCUUAUCAGCUUGUUGGUGGGGUAGUGGCUUACCAAGGCUUUGACGGGUAGCCGGCCUGAGAGGGUGACCGGCCAGAAUGGGACAGAGAUACGGCACAGACUCCUACGGGAGGCAGCAGUGGGGAAUAUUGCACAAUGGGCGGAAGCCUGAUGCAGCAACGCCGCGUGCGGGAUGACGGCCUUCGGGUUGUAAACCGCUUUCGCCUGUGACGAAGCGUGAGUGACGGUAAUGGGUAAAGAAGCACCGGCUAACUACGUG